CCUACGGGGGGCAGCAGUGAGGAAUAUUGGUCAAUGCCGAGAGGCUGAACCAGCCAAGUCGCGUGAGGGAAGACGGCCCUACGGGUUGUAAACCUCUUUUGUCGGGGAGCAAAGCGAACCACGUGUGGAUCAUUGAGAGUACCCGAAGAAAAAGCAUCGGCUAACUCCGUGCCAGCAGCCGCGGUAAUACGGAGGGUGCGAGCGUUAUCCGGAUUUACUGGGUGGAAAGGGAACGUAGACGGCCAUGCAAGGCUGAUGUGAAAACCCCGGGCUCAACCCCGGGACUGCAUUGGAGACUGGGCGGCUGGAGUGUCGGAGAGGCGAGUGGAAUUCCUAGUGUAGCGGUGAAAUGCGUAGAGAUUAGGAGGAACACCAGUGGCGAAGGCGGCUUGCUGGACGACGACUGACGUUGAGGCUCGAAAGCGUGGGGAGCAAACAGGAUUAGAUACCCCUGUAGUC
rnacentral:rRNA from 1 species